UAUGUAAUUCUUGGGUGUAAGAAGUGAUUUUCUAUAUAAUUUCUUAUUGGCUUUCUUGAUCAUCAUUUGACCUGAUACUAUUUUUAGUUUAAUAUGCUAAGAUAGGUGUAAGGACAGCUAGGUGGCAUAGUGGAUAGAAUGCUAGGCCUAGAACCAGUUCAAAUAUGGUCUCAGUCUUUUUUACUAGCUGUGUGAUUGUGAGCAAGUCAUUUGACUUAGUUUACUUCAGUUUCCUCAUCUGUACAAUGAUCUGGAGAAGGAUAUGGCAAAAACAAUCGAAUAUCUUUUUACUAAGUAAACCCCAAAUGGGAUCACAAAGAAUUGGUCAUAAUUGAAAAUGACUGAACAAUAGUAAUAGGUGUGGUAAAGCUGAACUGCCUUCCUCCAUUCAAGCCAACGUUUUGCCCAGAAGACUUAGUUUUAGUUUCAAAUAAAACCUUUUGUCUUCCUCAAGAACUAUAUCAAAUCAUAACAAAAGACUACAUAGUUUUGCUAAAGCAAAAAUGAAAGAAGGAACCAAGUUGUGAUCUCAUUCCUGAAAUCAUGCCCAUGGAUGAAAAUCUAUUUGGAAGAGAAUGGGAAACUAAGGAGGAGAAUGGUUGAACAAGUUAUGGAAAAAAUGUCCUAGAUCUUAGAUCCUGCAAAACUGUCAUACUGAAGACCCGAGUUUUCAUGUAUCCUAAUGCUACAAAGAUCAAUGAAAUAUGAGGCAUACCCAGAUUAAACAGCAACAACUAGCAGGGGGUUCAGUUUCAGGAUAAUGACAUACAAGUUGUACUGCUGGCCUAAAAGUCUUCCACUCAGUUGCAAAGGUAAUUUUCCUAAAGCAUAAGUUCAAUUUGUGACAUCUUUUAUUCAACAGGCACUUUUGAGUCAUUAUAAUUUGGCUUCCUACUUUCUAGUCUUAA